AGUGAACGCUGGCGGCAGGCCUAACACAUGCCAGUCGAACGAACUCUUCGGAGUUACUUGCUGACGGGGGAGGAACGCGGCGGAAGGUUCCGUAUUGCUCGGGAUACCUCAGUGAAACUGGGGCUAAUACCGAAUAUGCCCCUCGGGGGACACAUUUAUCGCCAUUAGAGGGGCACGCGUUUUUUUAACCAGGUGGGGAGGUAACGGCUCACGAAGGAUAAGAUCAGUAGCGGGUCUGAGAGGAAGACCAGCGACACUGGGACUGAGAUACGGCCCAGACUCCUACGGGAGGCAGCAGUGGGGAAUCUUGCGCAAUCGGCGAAAGCCUGAAGCAGCCAGGCCGCGUGAAUGAUGAAGGUCUUAGGAUUGUAAAAUUCUUUCACCGGGGACGAUAAUGACGGUACCCGAAGAAUAAGCCCCGGCUAACUUCGUG
rnacentral:rRNA from 1 species